rnacentral:lncRNA from 1 species
UGCGCAAUGUACAAAUGUUACUUGGUUUAAAAAGCAAAGCUGAAUUAAAUGUGUAUGAUUUCUUGUUUGCAUUUUAUACAGAAAUGCCUGAAUCUCUGACUGCUGCACAGUAAUCCAGCUGACUGCUGUUUGGAUAGUAAGAGGCUGGUUCUGCAUUGCCUGUCAGAUUGUUCAUGUUGAGGAGAGCCUCAACAACACUUCUGUAGCCAAGUCGGUUCAACAUUUCUGUCUGAAAAGAGAAGCAGUGCUCCAUCCUGACAGUGCCACAUGUGCUUCAGAACCUGACUGGAAAAUGAACCCAACCUGGGUAUGCAUCACGAUUCACUGUGGCUUUAGAAGUCUGCUACGUGAAAAGUUUUGAUUUUGAGGGAAAAUUACAAGCGAAGGCAAAUGAUUUAAUCUAGAUCAAAGUUAGAAAUAUGAAUAUAGAAUCAAAAGAGAGUUAAGUUUGGUUGGAGUGCUGCGAUUUUUGCCUCAUUACUGAGAUACAGUAACUCUCAAAUAAGCAGAGACUGGGUCCCACUGUCAUGGGGAACUGUGGCUGAGAGCAAAAUGAGACAAUAUUUUGUUUCUUUUCUUGGGAAGUUUCACUACAGCCAACUAUUUUUCUACAAUCCACAUGGUUAAAAAAAAUAUUUGAUUAACUCUGUGGUAUAUGGACAAAGCCUUAGCUUUUGAAAAUGGGAACAUCUGCAUCUACCUGUCAGGACAGAAUCUUCCUUGUGACUAUUAGUGAUGACCAUUGCUAUGCACCUGCCAGUCUCCGGAUGCUGAGGAGUUUUUAUUCUCAUAAGCCCUCUUCAAGUUUGAUAUGAGAGCUUGAGAAGGCCUGUGCAAAUGUGCUGUAUUCUGCAAUUACUUGCAUGUUAUUUGCUGGGAACAUUUUCAGUUUUCUAAUGUAGUUUGUGAUUGGCUAUUGGAAAAUAUACGGUAUUGGCCACCCUUUUUCUGUCUGGAACUUACAAGCUGGUGAUUUAUAAAUUAGAACAGUUUUUGCACAGGUAAAGAUAGAUGCUUGCUUGAAGUGAUCUUGUCUAUACAGCAAAGGUCUGCUUUAUAUGAAUGUUUAUGGGAGCAAAGCUUAAUCUUUGCAUUAAUAUGUGUGAAUAGCAAUCAUGAUAAAACAAAACAUGAGUCAGAAUUAGCAAGUGUUUUAUCAGUUUCAUAUUCUCACUUUUCUGCUCAGUCCACCAGUUCCAAGUGGGAGGGACAGUAUAAAUUCUGAGGCUUUCUCAGUUUUGUAAUAGGACUAGCAGGAAGUGAAUGUAUUUUGGGUGAUGUCUGUGGCCAUGAAUAAAGAAUGUAUUUGGUAAUAAGAUGUUUAAUGA